rnacentral:sRNA from 1 species
GCUCUUUUUUUUUUAGGACUUUGGUUGUUUUAGUUUCAGGUUUGCGGCAGAUUUGGUUUGGUAAUAGAGUGUCAUCAAUCAAGUUAGGUUUAAAGAAAAUUGGUGUGAAAAAGAAAAAGUGAUUUCAAUUGUUUUUACGCCAAUUGUAAUUUUAUUUUAUCUGCAGUUUUAUUUUUUGCUGGUUUGGUGGUAAGGUGUCACAUGCAAUGGCUGUUGCGCUUGAUGUCUACAACUUGUUUGCGUAUUUACUGACAUUGAUUGUUAUGUAAAUAGUUAUUUUGUACGUAUGUAUGUAUGUAUGUAUGUAUGAUAGAUUUGGUGGUAAGGUGUCAGUAAUCAUGAUAAAUUUGGUGGUAAGGUGCCAGUAAUCAAGGACCAGCUUAGAAUUUGUCGACAAAGUUGGGUGAAUCCAUGUAUGACGUGAGGGUCCUUCGCCACAUUUUAAUGCAGAUUUAUUCCAAUGUAAAUGGUUUUUCAAGCGUGUCUCUUGGAAGGGCUGUUACUCCUGAUGUCUACAAAUUGUUUGAGUUUUUCUAUUUUCAGAUUCAUGAUAAAUUUGGUGGUAAGGUGCCAGUAAUCAAGGACCAGCUUAGAAUUUGUCGACAAAGUUGGGUGAAUCCAUGUAUGACGUGAGGGUCCUUCGCCACAUUUUAAUGCAGAUUUAUUCCAAUGUAAAUGGUUUUUCAAGCGUGUCUCUUGGAAGGGCUGUUACUCCUGAUGUCUACAAAUUGUUUGAGUUUUUCUAUUUUCAGAUUCAUGAUAAAUUUGGUGGUAAGGUGCCAGUAAUCAAGGACCAGCUUAGAAUUUGUCGACAAAGUUGGGUGAAUCCAUGUAUGACGUGAGGGUCCUUCGCCACAUUUUAAUGCAGAUUUAUUCCAAUGUAAAUGGUUUUUCAAGCGUGUCUCUUGGAAGGGCUGUUACUCCUGAUGUCUACAAAUUGUUUUUCUAUUUUCAGAUUCAUGAUAAAUUUGGUGGUAAGGUGCCAGUAAUCAAGGACCAGCUUAGAAUUUGUCGACAAAGUUGGGUGAAUCCAUGUAUGACGUGAGGGUCCUUCGCCACAUUUUAAUGCAGAUUUAUUCCAAUGUAAAUGAUUUUUCAAGCGUGUCUCUUGGAAGGGCUGUUACUCCUGAUGUCUACAAAUUGUUUGAGUUUUUCUAUUUUCAGAUUCAUGAUAAAUUUGGUGGUAAGGUGUUAAUAAUCAAGGACCAGCUUAGGAUUUGUCGAGCAAAAUUGGGUGUUUCCAUGCAUCCUGUUUGACCCUUGUUUCGAUGUCCAUGCAUUCCAAAAGGCUACCCUUAACGUAUUGGGAUUGUUGUUGUUGCUGCUGUAAUUUGUGUGCAUGAAUAAAUUUGUAUUGGCUGGAUGUCAAUGUUGCCUGUGAUAUUAA